AGAGUUUGAUCAUGGCUCAGAACGUACGCUGGCGGCACGCCUAACACAUGCAAGUCGAACGAAGUAGCAAUACUUAGUGGCAGACGGGUGAGUAACAUGUGGGUAUCUGCCCUUUGGCCUGGAAUAACACGAGGAAACUUGUGCUAAUACCGGAUAAGCCCUUACGGGGAAAGUUUUAAUGCCAAAAGAUGAGCCCGCACUUGAUUAGCUAGUUGGUAAGGUAAUGGCUUACCAAGGCAACGAUCAAUAGCUGUUCUUAGAGGAAGACCAGCCACAUUGGGACUGAGACACGGCCCAAACUCCUACGGGAGGCAGCAGUGGGGAAUCUUGCACAAUGGAGGAAACUCUGAUGCAGCGAUGCCGCGUGAGUGAAGAAGGCCCUUGGGUUGUAAAGCUCUUUCGUCGGGGAAGAAAAUGACUGUACCCGAAUAAGAAGGUCCGGCUAACUUCGUGCCAGCAGCCGCGGUAAUACGAAGGGACCUAGCGUAGUUCGGAAUUACUGGGCUUAAAGAGUUCGUAGGUGGUUGAAAAAGUUAGUGGUGAAAUCCCAGAGCUUAACUCUGGAACUGCCAUUAAAACUUUUCAGCUAGAGUAUGAUAGAGGAAAGCAGAAUUUCUAGUGUAGAGGUGAAAUUCGUAGAUAUUAGAAAGAAUACCAAUUGCGAAGGCAGCUUUCUGGAUCAUUACUGACACUGAGGAACGAAAGCAUGGGUAGCGAAGAGGAUUAGAUACCCUCGUAGUCCAUGCCGUAAACGAUGUGUGUUAGACGUUGGAAAUUUAUUUUCAGUGUCGCAGCGAAAGCGAUAAACACACCGCCUGGGGAGUACGACCGCAAGGUUAAAACUCAAAUGAAUUGACGGGGACCCGCACAAGUAGUGGAGCAUGUGGUUUAAUUCGAAGAUACGCGCAGAACCUUACCAACACUUGACAUGUUCGUCGCGACUCUAAGAGAUUAGAGUUUUCGGUUCGGCCGGACGAAACACAGGUGCUGCAUGGCUGUCGUCAGCUCGUGUCGUGAGAUGUUGGGUUAAGUCCCGCAACGAGCGCAACCCUCACUUUUAGUUGCCAUCAUUAAGUUGGGCACUCUGAAAGAACUGCCAGUGAUAAGCUGGAGGAAGGUGGGGAUGACGUCAAGUCCUCAUGGCCCUUACGUGUUGGGCUACACACGUGCUACAAUGGUAUCUACAACAGGAAGCAAGACUGCGAAGUUAAGCAAAUCCCUAAAAGAUACCUCAGUUCGGAUUGCACUCUGCAACUCGAGUGCAUGAAGCUGGAAUUACUAGUAAUCGUGGAUCAGCGUGCCACGGUGAAUGCGUUCCCGGGUCUUGUACACACCGCCCGUCACACCAUGGGAGUUGGUUCUACCUUAAGGCAAGGUUUCAAACCCUUGACCACGGUAUAGUCAGCGACUGGGGUGAAGUCGUAACAAGGUAGCCGUA
rnacentral:rRNA from 1 species